rnacentral:rRNA from 1 species
GAUGAACGCUGGCGGCGUGCCUAAUACAUGCAAGUCGAGCGAACAGACGAGGAGCUUGCUCCUCUGACGUUAGCGGCGGACGGGUGAGUAACACGUGGAUAACCUACCUAUAAGACUGGGAUAACUUCGGGAAACCGGAGCUAAUACCGGAUAAUAUAUUGAACCGCAUGGUUCAAUAGUGAAAGACGGUUUUGCUGUCACUUAUAGAUGGAUCCGCGCCGCAUUAGCUAGUUGGUAAGGUAACGGCUUACCAAGGCAACGAUGCGUAGCCGACCUGAGAGAGUGAUCGGCCACACUGGAGCUGAGACACGGACCAGACUCCUAAGGGAGGCAGCAGUAGGGAAUCUUCCGCAAUGGGCGAAAGCCUGACGGAGCAACGCCGCGUGAGUGAUGAAGGUCUUCGGAGCGUAAAACUCUGUUAUGAGGGAAGAACAAAUGUGUAAGUAACUAUGCACGUCUUGACGGUACCUAAUCAGAAAGCCACGGCUAACUACGUG